rnacentral:rRNA from 1 species
CCUACGGGAGGCAGCAGUGGGGAAUCUUGCGCAAUGGGCGAAAGCCUGACGCAGCCAUGCCGCGUGAAUGAUGAAGGUCUUAGGAUUGUAAAAUUCUUUCACCGGGGACGAUAAUGACGGUACCCGGAGAAGAAGCCCCGGCUAACUUCGUGCCAGCAGCCGCGGUAAUACGAAGGGGGCUAGCGUUGCUCGGAAUUACUGGGCGUAAAGGGAGCGUAGGCGGAUAGUUUAGUCAGAGGUGAAAGCCCAGGGCUCAACCUUGGAAUUGCCUUUGAUACUGGCUAUCUUGAGUAUGGGAGAGGUUAGCGGAACUCCGAGUGUAGAGGUGAAAUUCGUAGAUAUUCGGAAGAACACCAGUGGCGAAGGCGGCUAACUGGCCCAUUACUGACGCUGAGGCUCGAAAGCGUGGGGAACAAACAGGAUUAGAUACCCUGGUAGUCCACGCCGUAAACGAUGAGUGCUAGUUGUCGGCAUGCAUGCAUGUCGGUGGUACGCGAGCUACGACAUUAAGUACACUCCGUCCGUCGGGGUAGGUACGGUCCGGCGAAGAAGUUAAACCGUUAACGUAAAGUAGUAAGUUAGUUACGGUCGUUGAGACGUUGCCGACGGACGACGACGAGGGAGGAGG